GCUAGGGGCUGCUGCCUUCUGUUUGGGGCCCUCCCUAUUGUCACUCUCUGGAGAACCCUGCUUCUGGCUGGACUGCUGAAUAAAGCCAAUUGAAGCCCCUUUUGUGUCAGACCGUUUGGUGUUCUGUGGCCUGCGUCAUAGCUGCAUGUGCUGUGUCCCUUUAUUCCCUCUGUGUGUUGAGGAUGCACGUUCCAGGUUUUCCAUCAGACCUCCCUAGUCUGUCCCAGAAGAUGAGAGAAAUGUCUGGUAUUUGGAAAGAGCCUAGGUGCUUUAGUCCAUGCCUACUUCUGUACCACCACAUGCUUUGCUACCAGAUCCUCUUCCUUCAUCUCCCAGGUCAUAAAUAACCUUAGCCUCACACCGAUUAUGUGAGGCGAGAGACAGUGCAAAGCUUUGUGGCCACUUCAACUGGUUCUAGUCCUAUGUGUUGGCUUGAGUCUGAGAUCCCCCCUCCCCCUGCCACUGUGUGAUCUGAUGGGGUGGGGAGGGACACUAUUCUAUUUUUAAAGGGGGCACUAUUCACUCUUUCUUCAGCUAAAAUUCUGGUGCUUGUAUGAGGUCUACCAGUAGUAAGAAAGUGUAAAUAUAAGGGUGUAACUGUGAGUGAGUGUGUGUGUGUGUGUGAGAGAGAGAGAGAGACAGAGAGAGAGAAAGAAAGCACAUGGCAAGUGCAAAUGUCAGUUCGAGUUAGUGCAUGUGUUUUAGGCUCCACAAGUCAAGAGGGAUAUGAAGAACUUAGAGGAGAACAAAAGAAAACAAUGGCAAGAAAGAAAGGUUAGGAAAAAUUCAAAUUCCCUGGCACCAGAAUAGGGUGAGUUGAGUCAACAGUUACUAACUUGCAGGAG